rnacentral:lncRNA from 1 species
AGCUGCCCUCCUCUGGGCCUUCUCGGACUCACUUCUCCAGCCUCCCCUCCCCUCUCCAGCUUCCUUUUCUGGGUCUCCCCCCACUGGACUAUAAGCUUCUUUCCAGCAGGAACUGCCUUUUCUUUUCGAAUCUGCAUUCAAGGCACUUGGCCCAGCAUCUGGCACAUAGUAGGUGCUUGGUUCUGUUCUGGGUGUGGGGGGAUGCCGAGGUGAUAAACAGCACGGCUCUGGCCUGAGGGACAUCCUGUACCACUGGAGGGUUCUGUGGUCUGAGUCAAACUAGAUUUCAAUGAAUGAUGACUGGGGAAGAUGAAGAGCCCAUCCCGCCUCCGACAUUCCCUGGCUGUGGGACUCCUUGGCAAGCCUGUGAUCUCUCUGCUAGGCUUCCUCCUUUAUUAAAUAAGAGUAUUGGAUUGGGCAAUGCCCAAGACCGUCUAAAUCUUUGAUCGAUCUAUCGAUGUUACGAUGAGUUCCCCUACCUCUACCCUAGCACUGGGGAUAGUUAGUCUAAACACCCUCAUGGAGGCAGGCAAAAAUUGAAGAACAAGGGACACAAUCAGGGUCCACACUAGCUCUCUAUCAAGGAAGAAGAAAACCUCUGAAUCAAUCUAUUGGCAAGCAUUGAUUAAUCAAGUACCAACCACUGGGCUCCUUCGACCUCCAAAACAGAAUAAUUUACACACACACACACACACACACACACACACACAUACCAGCCCCAAGUCUUAGAAGAUUACUCUGACCUCAUACCCCUUGGCUCCUCAGAGGGGCUGCCCCGGGGGGAUGUUCUCUGAGGCUCCACAUCCCCAUAAUUCCACAUCCCAUAAUUCCAGCAUCCCUAAACCCUAUAUCUGCAGGAAUUUGGCAGAGCCCAGCCUGGAAAUGGCCAUCGGCUCCAACUACCCUGAGCUCCCCUUUCCCUGAUUCCUCUGGCCCUGGGCAUCUCCUGCCCUGGCCUGUUCUGAUUGAGCUUUGAGUCUCCUCCUCCUCCCCCAGAGAUAGAUCUGGGCACCCAAGGGUACUUACCAUGUUGAAUGAAGGGGUGGAAAUCGAGGCAGAGUAGAAGGAGAGAAUCCUGUGGUGAAGACAGGAGCAGGUGCCCUAGAUUUUAGCUCGGAAUCUAGGUUAUUAAUCAGGUUCUAUCUCCUCCCUGUGCCUCAAUUUCCCCACCUGUGACUGGAUUGGACUAAUUAACCUCUCACCUGUGUAGGAUUCCUCAAGGCCUGGGGAAGAAAUGAGGGUGGGGGAGGGGGUAGGAGAGAGGUCAGGAAACAGAAAGUCUUAGGGUUGUCCUUGGAGAGGUGGGAGACCCCGGCCUGAGGGUGCUAUGAGAUCUGCACCCCUCCCUCCCACACACCCCGUUCCCACCCUUCUGGCUGGGUUGUCUGCCUCAGCUCUCAGGACAGCCGGCUUUAGCAUUCCCUCCACGCCUGGGGAAAACAUCCUGAUUCAGGGCUGCAGUAAGAGGGGCUGAAUCAGACUCUAUUCUGUGGAAGAAGGGCCCUUUUGAGCUCUGGGAGUUGGGGGUGGGGGGGAGGAAGCCUGGAGCCGGUACUAAGCGAGGCCUUUGUUCCACCUCCCUCCUUCUCGAUCUCUCCCUGGGACAUGAUGUCCUGCGCACCCUGACCCCCAGCCUUCCCUGCUGCAGCAAGUUGGGGAGGUGGCUCACACCUUCCCUCCCCGCCUUGCCUCUCUGAGUGAUGGAGCCCAGAGGACCUGGGUCCAAACCCAGCUCUGCUGAUUCCUACCUGUGUGACCUCAUCUCUCUGGAUUUAUCUGUGAAAUGAGGCUCUAGGACAAAUCCAUAACUGCUUCCAGGCUCAUUUCCCCCUUCUAAGACAAGGUCCCUGCCCUCAGUACUUCUCCUUCUGUCUGGGAAGGAAAGCUAAAACGCAGCCAGGAGUAACUCUGGAAUAGAAUAGAACCAUGGAGCCACAGAGAUACACAGAGGUAGAACUCUGGAGUUUUUAACUCAUGGUACAUUGUCAUUGAGGCAGAAGGUCCAGCACAGCAGCGGGCCAGCGGGAAGGAGCCCUGGGCCAGGGGAGAGGGACCUCUGGGAGCACCUCCCUCCAUGGUAGAUGCAAGUAAAGCCAGCCAUUUGUACAUCUACACCAGCUGUGUCACCCAGAUCAAAGAGGGCAGUGGAAGGAUGCCAGACUCACAGGAGUAUCAGCCUUUCUGCCAAGCUGCCUGCAGGGAUCAGCCUUCUGAGCUGGUUCCCCUGAUUCUUCUCUGGGGGCUCAAAUUGACAGUAAUUAAAUGGAAAAAUCAUUGUGUUGAUAGUCAAAGGAUCUGGGUUCAAGUUCCAACUCUUCUCACAUGACCUUGGUCAAGCUACAACAUUUUUCUGUGUGUAAAAUGAAUAUAGAAGUGUUCCAAAUCCCUCCCAGCUCUAACCUAUGCUCCUUGGGAACUUGAGAUACAGGGGUCCUGAAUGAAAUCUUUGUUGGGUCUAUGAUUAUCUUGUAAACUCAUCUGUGUUCCCUUGGGCGUGCCUCUGCCAACACCAUGGGAUCUGGACAUCAGAGCAUCCCAAUCAUGGACAAUGAACGCCCUCCAAUUAUUUGAGUCAUUCUUUAUUUCUUUGAAGUGUAUAAGUCUCAAUGAUGUUUUCAAAGAUGAUUCACAGAUUUUCCCCCUAAGGCAAUUGGGGGACUUACCCAGGGUCACACUAGCUAGGAAGUAUUAAGUGCCUAAAGCCAGAUUUGACCUCAGAUUCUCCUGUCUUUGGGGGUUCCAUCUCACAGAUUUUUUAAAAUGUAUUUUGUAGGUAUUUGUUAUAAAAAAAGAAAUGGGAUUUUUUUCCUAUCAUUUCCUCCUGAAUUUUAAAAACUGAUGCAGAAAUGAUGCCUUUAAAAAAUAGUUUGCAUCUUGUUACUUUACUGAUUCUGUUAAUUGUGUCAAUUUCUUUGCUGAUUCUUUG